rnacentral:rRNA from 1 species
GACGAACGCUGGCGGCGUGCUUAACACAUGCAAGUCGAACGGAAAGGCCCUGCUUUUGUGGGGUGCUCGAGUGGCGAACGGGUGAGUAACACGUGAGUAACCUGCCCUUGACUUUGGGAUAACUUCAGGAAACUGGGGCUAAUACCGGAUAGGAGCUCCUGCUGCAUGGUGGGGGUUGGAAAGUUUCGGCGGUUGGGGAUGGACUCGCGGCUUAUCAGUUUGUUGGUGGGGUAGUGGCUUACCAAGGCUUUGACGGGUAGCCGGACUGAGAGGGUGACCGGCCACAUUGGGACUGGGAUACGGCCCAGACUCCUACGUGAGGCAGCAGUGGGGAAUAUUGCACAACGGGCGGAAUCCUGAUGCAGCAACGCCGCGUGCGGGAUGACGGCCUUCGGGUUGUAAACCGCUUUCGCCUGUGACGAAGCGUGAGUGACGGUAAUGGGUAAAGAAGCACCGGCUAACUACUU